rnacentral:lncRNA from 1 species
CCAUUAACCCCUUUCCCCUCUUUAUACCCUAAAUCCCUCACAUUAAAGAGGGGGAGAUCGAAAAGAUCCAUCAGACCUCUAAGAAAGAAGAGGGAACGACGGACCUUCUAGGUUCUCUUCUUCAUUUUCAGUUUCUGAAAACACCACAAAACCAGCGACUCCUUCACUCAUACACACUCAAUUCACACUCUCUUACACAUGCCUAAGCCCUAGUAGCAGCUGAAAAUUCUAGAAUUCCAGAUCUGAAUUUCAAAAUUUCAAAAUCUCAAAAACAAACAACAAAACUGAACCAAAAAAGAGUUACAAAGUUGAUUCAAGUCUCAGUUUCAUAUGCUUUAUAUUCUCUAGAAAUUUCAAAGCUUAAUCAAGUUGUAAAGGUGUCGUUAUUUAUAGGUUUGUUGUUCUCCGCAUAGCUAGGCUCCGAUUUGCUGAUCUCAGUCCCUGUUUGAGUUGUUUUAAUUUGUUUUACUGCUGAUAAGAGAGUCGCUGCUAAAGCUCACUCUUAUUUCACACCUUAUUUGGUCAAUUUCGUUGUUGUUGUUGUCUGUCUCAUCGCUGAGCUCCCUGCUCCUUUCUUUGCUUUUAUUAGGGAUAAUUUCGCAAUGUAUUAUUGCUGAUUGAGGUAUGGAUUUCAGUCCAAAAAUGAUGUAAUUAAUUUUGAAGGCCAUCUUCUCUAUGAUUGUUUUGUUGGAAUUCACACUCGAUUCCAUUCUUUCUUAUGUUUGGAUUGAAAGUAAUAAGACAUUAUUUUGAUUCCUUUGAGAUAUAAGAACAUAGAAUUGUUCGAUUCCUUUAAGCUAAAUCUUAAUCAUGUUAGGUUGGGUAUUUGUUGGUAAAAUUCUGUGCAUUGGGUACUGUUGCUAUCAUUGGUUUCAUGUUUAGUUUGAAUUGUUUAGCACUUUUUAUGGUUAAACAUUUUGAUGGCUAAUCCAUUUUGUACCUGAG